UUGAGCCCGUGUCAAGGAUGGCUUUGAGCUCAACGCUGAUUUCGACUUCGAGGAAGAUUUGGAAGUUGAUUUCUGUUUUGGCGACGGCAUGGUCAGGGCCGACACCGGGUCUGCCAAAUCUGAUCUUGGAAUGGGCAUCAAGGCAAUCGCCCUCACAAUCCUGUGAGAAUUAAGGCUUCAGUAGCAGUAGCAGAACCUCCAGACACUGAGAUACUACAACAACAGGUCUGCAUUCCCUCUGAUGUAGGAUCAAACAUUUACCACUGCGUUUCUUCACAAAACACAAGGUUGUAAAGUGCUUAACAAGACCACGCAAUCCUCCUGCAGGUAUGAACACUUCAUAGAGACUGGAGUUUUUAGUGAGACUGCUUGGGAGACAGGUGGUCUCUCAUACAGAGUCAAGGAGGCAACAUUGUAUACCAACCGUAACAAAUAACUCAGAUAAUAUCAUUUUCCCUGCCAUUGUUGUCAACUCAUUUUAUAAAACAUUUGUCAACUAGUUUACAGGAUUGUAGACCGAACAGACCUUUACUGAUUUCCAUUCCACCUGUCCUCCAAAGGGGGCUGUUGCAUUCGUAGAAGACUGCAAAUCUGACAACUGAGUAAGCUGCACAUGCUUUGGACAGAAGUUCAGGCUUUAUUGUUUAAGCCAGACAGUCUCUGAUUCUCAUUUUAAAACCAAAAUAAUCACAACAAGCUGCAAGUCUGAGGGGAGCUCCAGAGUUGUGCAAACCUAGUAUAGACAACUUCCCACUUUCACUAGUUCAUGUUUUGGCAUAAGUUAGACUCAAGUUUACUUAUUUAUUUAGCUGAGCUAAGGGAACUGUUUUGCAGGUGGGCUUGGAGUAACCAUAAACACAAGAAUCCUGACAGCCUCCCUUGGAA